rnacentral:rRNA from 1 species
GACGAACACUGGCGGCGUGCCUAAUACAUGCAAGUCGACCUUAGUGGCGAACGGGUGAGUAACCCGUGGCUAACCUGCCCAUCAGGAGGGGAUAACACUUGGUAACAGGUGCUAUUCCCGUAUACUGCUGGAUGGACCCGCGGUGCAGUGGCUAGUUGGUGAGGUAACGGCUCACCAAGGCCCCGAUGCGUAGCCGGCCUGAGGGGGUGAUCGGCCACAUGGCGACUGAGAGACGGCCCAAACGCCUACGGGAGGAAGCAGUAGGGAAUCUGCGGCAAUGGACGAAAGUCUGAACGAGCAACGCCGCGUGAGUGAAGAAGGUGUUCGGAUCGUAAGAUUCUGUUGUUAGAGAAGCGGUAUCUAACCAGAAAGCCACGGCUAACUACGUGCCAGCAGCCGCGGUAAUAC